GACAACAACCCUAAGCACACAGCCAAUACAACGCAGGAGUGGCUUCAGAACAAGUCUCAAUGUCCUUGAGUAGCCCAUCAGAGCCUGGACUUAAACAUCUCUGGAGAGACCUAAAAAUAGCUGUGCAGCAACACUCCCCAUCCAACCCGAUAGAGCUUGAGAGGAUCUACAGAGAAUGGGAGAAACUCCCCAAAUAGAGGUGUUCCAUGCUUGUAGUAUCAUACCCAAGAGGACUCAAGACUGUAAUCGCUGCCACAGGUGCUUCAACAGAGUACUGAGUAAAAGAUGAAAUCCUGCAACUAAUGAUGUCUGGCCACCUGAUGACCUGCCCACUUGACCCUAUCCCCUCCUCCCUACUCCAGACCAUCUCAGGAGACCUUAUCACAUUCCCCACUUCCCUCAUCAACUCAUCCCUGACCCCUGGCUGCGUCCCUUCUGACUUCAAGCAGGCCAAAGUCGCUCCCCUCCUCAAGAAACCAACACUCGGCCCGGCCCCUCUGACGUCAAAAACUACAGACCAGUGGUGACACGCAUUUCGGCGUGCCUGGAAGAUAUCUCAGCUUGGAUGUAGACCCUUCACCUCAAGCUCAACCUUGACUAAAUGGACCUGCUCUUCCUCCCGGGAAAAGCCUGCCUGCUCCAGACCUCUCCAUCACGGUUGACAACUCCAUGGUGUCUCCCUCCCAAAGUGCUAAAAACAUUUCCUUGGCCCUGGACAACACCCUGUCGUUCUCUGCAAACAUCAAAGCAGUGACUCGCUUCUGCAGGUUCAUGGUGAACAACCUUGGUAUGAACUUUCCUCACAAAGAAAGUGGCUCAGGUCCUAAUCAAGGCACUUGUUAUCUCCCUUCUAGACCACUGCAACUCCCUGUUGGCUGGGCUCCCUGAUUGUGCCAUCAAACCCUGAAACUUAUCCAGAAUGCUGCAGCCCGCCUGGUGUUCAAAAUUCUGAAGUUAUCCCAUGUUACCCAGCUCCUCCGCACAUUCCAAUGGCUUCCAGUCAAAGCUCAAGUCAUCUUCAAAACUCUAGUGGAGCAGCAUGGGGAAUCGAGCACUCCAUUCCGCCACCUCUAAUCUCUUGGCCCUCUCACUCCUACGGGUGGGCAGCUCCCACUCAGCCCAAUCAAAUCUCCUCUCUGUCCUGGCACCCAAAUGAUUGAAUAAGGCUUCCCAUAAAGUCAUGACAGCGGAGUCCCUGCCCAUCUUUCAAAAACAUUUAAAACACUACAUCUUUGAAGAGUAUCUUAAAUAACUCACAUGGAGUUCUUUAAAAAAGAAGAAAUGCCAUUUCUCUUUUCCAUGAGCACUGACUUGAUAUGUACUUGAUACGGAUGUGAUGUGUUGUUGUCUCAUCUAGCUACAUUAAGAUGAGGGCACUAAUUGUAAGUAUCUCUGGAUAAAAGUAUCUGCUAACUGACUAAAAUGUAAUGUAAAAAUGUAAAACAAACUUACAAAGAGGGAAACAUGUAGAAGGACUAUCCAUACCAAACUUGAAAUUGUAUUUUGAAGCACUAACAUUUCAUCCCAUCCUAAAUUGGUUUAGAUAUGAUUCUUCUGCCCUGACUGAGUAUAUAGAGAGA